CAGCAGCAGCAGCAGCAUCAAAAGCAGCAGCAACGUUGCCAGUUGCCACCUCGCCCAUUGACUCAUCUUCUUCUUUCUUUUUGUUUUCAACAUUUUUUUCAUUCGUGUAUCUCUCCGCCGCUCUCCUAAAUUUUUUUAACAAAUCUACGGAAAUACCGACUGCGGAAAAAUUGAAGGGUACAGUUACAACACUGGAACGAUAUAAAAUACGUCUUUUUAAAAUAAACGUUUCAGCCCGAUCGCCCACGCGGAGAUAGAAGUGGGGGUUAAUGGAGAAGAAAAAAAAAAAGAAAGAAAAAAAAAGAAACAAAUAUCAAUCGUCGAUACGAGCGUAAAUCAUGAGGAUAAAUUAUCGGGCACAUGUGUGCGUGAAACUUGUCGAGUUUUCCCCUUUCAUUUUUCGGACGGUAUCUGUACGAAAGCAAAAAGAGAUCAAAGAAGAAUCUGAUACGUGUGAGCGUUGUCGUACCGAGUCGCGUCGCGUUUUUUAGUGGCCGAAAUCGAUCCGAUAUAUAUAUAUAAAUCCUUGGUCACGACCGUGAUUGAGAGGUAUUUGUUAUCUCGGACCGGCGGACUACGCUUUUACAAUUAAAACAACGCGUGCGUCGAAUCGAGUCGUGAAAUUGUCGCGUUAGUAUUCUGUCCCCCUCGCGCGUUCAAACCUGUGUAUAUCGAUACGGGUCGUACAAGUUUCGCUCCCCCGUGAUGGAAAAAACAAAAAACACAAAAAAAAAAAAAAAAAAAAAAAACGGAAUAAAAACAAGCGAGAAUCGAAGAAGAAAAGAAAAUCAGAAACGCGGACGAAAGAUAGAAAGAGUGACGGCGCAGUCUGUGGAAAUUACAGCUGUACGUAUUAAUACGGCGUGAAGUUGUACGUUUUACAGAUAUACACAUAGGGUGUACCGGAAAAAACGUAUGGAGUAUGGAAUGAUCCGAGAGAAAAAUUUUCCCCGAGGGAGAAGGAUGUUGAUUUUUAGGAAUGCAAUAUUUUUUGGAUCUCCAUAAGUGGACUGUAAGCGUUUUUUGGAUGAAAGAAAAAAAAAUAAAUAAAUAAUGAGAGUCGGAUGACUCCGGGGGAGGCUUCAAUUCGGAUUUACUCUAACCCGAGGGUUGCCUGUUUCUCGAUUCUCGCCCACCCGCCUUGACAUCCUGAUAUCUCUCCAAUAAGUGUGGUACAUUAUUAUACCAGAAUCAGGAUUUCUGCAUGGGAAUGAGGAAAUCGCGCGGGCUAGACACUGUGUCGCGGUAUAAUAGACGAUAAUUUAAUUAUACCGGGGAUAGUAUCAUACCAGUUUAUUCUAAGAAUAGAAUACAUCUCUCUCUCUCUCUCUCUCUCGAGAUGUAUUUAUACGCGAUGUACUCGUGUAACGCGUACAUCUGUAGGUGUGCGGUACACGAGGCACGUUUAUUAUUUAAUACGUAAUUCGCGAUGGUAAUGACCCGCUUGCAUCAUUGUACCGCACUGCACUUUAUGAAUAAAAAUCCCGCCAACUCUGCUCCACUCGCUACUCUGUGAAGAAUCACCGGAUUCCUUACGUCUCAAUCGACGAGAUUCGGACGAGAAAAUGAAAGCGAGCGAACGGGAAAAAAAAAAAAAAAAAACUCAUGGAAAAAUUAUCUCGUACGAGCCGCGGUGCGUCUUCCGUCACACGAAUGCGAUCGUCGUAUACGAUAUUAUGUGGAUUAGCUCAGGUUUUUUACGUACAUUAACCUUUAAAUAUUGUAACUACGUAUGUGCGGGACGCCAGAAUUUUAUCUACGUGUGUCAACAGAAAUCCACCGUCACGAUAAGAAUCGAACGUAGCGCGUGGCUGUUUUUAACCCAUACCCACUUUAUUCGUACAACGUAUGAGCAGCCGGUGUUUUUUAUUCCGCCCUUUUAUCCUUUUCGUUGAAAUUUUUCCAAAUUCUUCUUCACUCGACUGUUUACCAAAUACGAGACGUGGGGAGAGAAUCAUUGUCGAAAAAUGAUCCGGUUGUAACGUGCGCGGAGAGAAUCGUCGAACGGCCUCUCCGACCCCAAUCGCCAAACGAUUCAAAAUUCAACGCUCCAAUGAAAUAAUACGUUGUAAGAAGUUUGUAGGUAAUAGACGAAAAUAGAUUCGCUUUUUUAUUUGCCUCGCGAACGACCGAUGCGAUGAGCUUGGCGAUAAUUUUCGCGUUGCCUUCAUAGGAGGCUACACGAUAUUAACAUACAAUACGCGCACGUGGAAAAAAAUGAAAAGCAAAAAAAAAAAAAAAAAAAACCAUUUGAAAAAAAAAAGAAGAAAAAAAAAGGCGGGCGAUCAGAGGAAAAA